UUGAGGUCAAAAUACUCUGCCACUUGCACCACGACCGCGACCACCUCAAGGCUGUUUUCCACGUUUCUCCAAGGAUUAGGAAGCUGUUGUGCUUGCAAAGCGAGUCCACUUUAAUUAUGUAACUCCCGAUGCCUUUCAUGUGACCGCACCGCCACCGGUACAGCAGUUGCCUCUCGAUGACAGCAUGUAUAUGGAAGAAAGGGAGGCAAUUGCAAGAAAGAGAAUGAAGGGGGGAGAUUACUUGAGCUUUGAGCCUUUAUUCGGAUGGUGGCCGGACAUCAACAGAUCGAUGGCAACCCACCUAGCUAGUUAUACUUAUACAUGGUCUCCUUAAUAUAUAAAGAGAUCGAUCUAGUAGUAAAUUAAGUGUGCAUGGUUGGGACUCUUUUAAUAUUGAUAGAGAUUUAAUCGUCGGACCAUGAUUUCGAUAGAAUAAUGCUUAUCUUGUGAGAGAUCCUUAUCUUGAUAAA